AUACGGAGGGGGUUAGCGUUGUUCGGAAUUACUGGGCGUAAAGCGUACGUAGGCGGAUUAGUAAGUUAGGGGUGAAAUCCCGAGGCUCAACCUCGGAACUGCCUCUAAAACUGCUAGUCUUGAGUUCGGGAGAGGUGAGUGGAAUUCCUAGUGUAGAGGUGAAAUUCGUAGAUAUUAGGAGGAACACCAGUGGCGAAGGCGGCUCACUGGCUCGAUACUGACGCUGAGGUACGAAAGUGUGGGGAGCAAACAGAAUUAGAAACCCUAGUAGUCC
rnacentral:rRNA from 1 species